rnacentral:rRNA from 1 species
AUUGAACGCUGGCGGCAUGCCUUACACAUGCAAGUCGAACGGCAGCACGGACUUCGGUCUGGUGGCGAGUGGCGAACGGGUGAGUAAAGUAUCGGAACGUACCUUUCAGUGGGGGAUAACGUAGCGAAAGUUACGCUAAUACCGCAUAUUCUGUGAGCAGGAAAGCAGGGGAUCGCAAGACCUUGCGCUGAUUGAGCGGCCGAUAUCAGAUUAGCUAGUUGGUGAGGUAAAGGCUCACCAAGGCGACGAUCUGUAGCGGGUCUGAGAGGAUGAUCCGCCACACUGGAACUGAGACACGGUCCAGACUCCUACGGGAGGCAGCAGUGGGGAAUUUUGGACAAUGGGGGCAACCCUGAUCCAGCCAUGCCGCGUGAGUGAAGAAGGCCUUCGGGUUGUAAAGCUCUUUCGGCCGGGAAGAAAUCGUAUCAGCUAAUACCUGGUGCGGAUGACGGUACCGGCAUAAGAAGCACCGGCUAACUACGUGCCAGCCGCCGCAGUAAUAC